UCUGGCAAAGAAGGGCGUGCUGAUCCUAUCGGACAUCCUGGCCAACUCCGGCGGAGUGAUGGUGAGCUACUUCGAGUGGGUGCAGAACAUUGAGGGGUCCAUGUGGGACGAGGAGAAGGUGAAUCGGGAGCUCAAGACGUACAUGACCCGUGCCUCAAACAUUUAGGCAGUGGGGGUACUAAAUAUGAGCUUCUAUCUACAAACUUUUGUCCGCGAUCUAUUUGUGACGACUUCUCUCAAGGUAGGAGCCACUUUUGUAUGUAUACUUCUCUUGAUUCGUUCUAUGUUGUCAAGUUCUCAUUCAUUUGGUGAUCUUCUGUAAUAUUUGUGUUCGUUGAUCAUGGCCAAGUAAAUCAAAUUGAAUUUCCUGUUAA